GUGCUCACUUCGGCAGCACAUAAACUAAAACUGGAAAGAUACAGAGAUUAGAAUGGCCGCUAUGCAAAGAUGACACACAAAUUUUUGAAGCGUUCCAUAUUUUA
rnacentral:snRNA from 1 species